AGAGUUUGAUCCUGGCUCAGAAUGAACGCUGGCGGCAUGGAUUAGGCAUGCAAGUCGAACGGGAUCGCGGAGUUUGCUUUGCGAUUCAGUGGCGAAAGGGUGAGUAACACGUGAGUAAUCUGCCCUCGAAUUCGGGAUAGCCCCGGGAAACCGGGAUUAAUACCGAAUGUGGUUCUGCCCCGCAUGGGGCGGUGACUAAAGAACCUCGUUCGGGGAUGAGCUCGCGCCCUAUUAGCUUGUUGGCGGGGUAACGGCCCACCAAGGCUGUGACAGGUAGCUGGUCUGAGAGGAUGAUCAGCCACAUUGGGACUGAGACACUGCCCAGACUCCUACGGGAGGCUGCAGUCGAGAAUCUUCCGCAAUGGGCGAAAGCCUGACGGAGCGAUGCCGCGUGAGGGAUGAAGGCCUUCGGGUCGUAAACCUCUGUCAUAGGGGACGAAGAAUGUGACGGUACCCUCAGAGGAAGCCACGGCUAACUACGUGCCAGCAGCCGCGGUAAUACGUAGGUGGCGAGCGUUAUUCGGAUUUACUGGGCGUAAAGGGUUCGCAGGGGGUUUGCCAAGUCUGAUGUGAAAUCUCACAGCUCAACUGUGAAACUGCAUUGGAUACUGGCGGACUAGAGUGUAUGAGGGGUGAGCAAAUUCCUGGUGUAGCGGUGGAAUGCGUAGAUAUCAGGAAGAACACCGAUGGCGAAGGCAGCUCACUGGCAUACUACUGACCCUCAGGGACGAAAGCGUGGGUAGCAAACAGGAUUAGAUACCCUGGUAGUCCACGCUGUAAACGUUGUGCACUAGAUGCAGCCGGAUCUGAUCCCGGCUGUGUCCCAGCUAACGCGAUAAGUGCACCGCCUGGGGACUACGGCCGCAAGGCUAAAACUCAAAGGAAUUGACGGGGGCCCGCACAAGCGGUGGAGCAUGUGGCUCAAUUCGAGGCAACGCGAAGAACCUUACCUGGGUUUGACAUAAUCUCGACCGGCAUGGAAACAUGCCUUCCCUUCGGGGCGGGACUACAGGUGCUGCAUGGCUGUCGUCAGCUCGUGUCGUGAGAUGUUCGGUUAAGUCCGGCAACGAGCGCAACCCGUGUCGUCAGUUGCUAACAGGUAAUGCUGAGGACUCUGGCGAGACUGCCCGUGUCAAGCGGGAGGAAGGCGCGGAUGACGUCAAGUCCGUAUGGCCCUUACACCCAGGGCUGCACACGUGCUACAAUGGGCGGUACAAUGAGACGCGAAACCGCGAGGUGGAGCAAAUCUCCAAAACCGUCCCCAGUUCGGAUUGGAGUCUGCAACUCGACUCCAUGAAGUCGGAAUCGCUAGUAAAGGGGUAUCAGCAACGGCCCCUUGAAUACGUUCCCGGGCCUUGUACACACCGCCCGUCACAUCAUGGAAGCUGGCUGCACCCGAAGUCGCUGCACGAACCCGCAAGGGACGUAGGCGCCGAAGGUGUGUCCAGUGACUGGGAUGAAGUCGUAACAAGGUA
rnacentral:rRNA from 1 species